UGGCAUUUGAGCCCGAAACCUGCAAACCCGCUCGAAACCCGCACGGAAAAAGCCCGCACGAACCCGUCCAAUUAUUAAUUCGGGCUGAGAAAAGCCCGCACGCCAAAAACCCGUAAAUUAACGGGCCGGGUCGUGCUAAACCCGUUAGGCCCGUUGGAACCCGUUAAGUAAUUUCUGAAAAUUAAAACCCUUUCUACUCUGCUGAAAGAAAGCGAUCCAUGACAGACUCUUUGCCGUGCUCUCUGCCUCUCUCGUAGAGUCCAUGACUGCAUCUCUCUCUUCUUCAUCCAAACCCACAAUUUCAGAGCGAGAGAGAUCUGAGCUGGGAUUGGGUUCUGAAGUGCUUAUUGGGAUUUGGGUGGAAACAAGGUAGUGAAGAUGAGUACAAAUGAUGAGUCCCAAUUUAUAUCUACGGAGGAAAGAGGAGAAGAUGUAAUAGGAAAUGUACUAAGAGAUGAUUUGCCUUCUAGAAGAAAGAAGAGGAAGAAGAGUUCUCAAUGUUGGUUGUCUUCUAAAUAUGUAUUUUAUUUAGUACAUUAAAUAUGUAUUUCGAACCUAUUUCAAUCUUUGUAGCUACUAUUAUCAUUGAUGCUAUUUCAUCAAAGAAUGAAUCAAAAAAAAUUAUAUA